rnacentral:misc_RNA from 1 species
AAGUCGUAACAAGGUUUCCGUAGGUGAACCUGCGGAAGGAUCAUUAAAACGUAUCCAAACGUUAACCAACUGUGAACUCGUUUCUCCCUUGGCCUCGAAAAAUUGGAGCUGUGAAUGACAUUGAGUGGGAUCCCUUAAACAAGGAUCGGUCAUUUGCAGUCACUGAUGUACUUGUACAUCGACAAGAGUAUCGAGGUUGAGGCAAUUCUCUCUGCUUUCGCCCUCCAUUCAAAGGUGGGGCAGAGGGGUCAUUUAAAUAACCAUAAUCACCCCUUUUUGCUAGUUGACUUUUUUAAUGUUGGUGUUUACGAAAGUAAUCAUCACACGUUUCAUUAUUUGAACGUAAAAUACAACUCUUAGCAAUGGAUAUCUUGGUUCUC